rnacentral:rRNA from 1 species
CGCAUUGAGCGCCCCGCCCUGGGGAGGUGCGGCCGCAAAGCUAAAACUCAAAAGGAAUGACGGGGGCCCGCACAAGCGGGCGGAGCAUGCGCUUAAUUCGAUGCAACGCGAAGAACCUUACCAAGGCUUGACAUAUACCGGAAACUCUCAGAGAUGGGGGCCCCGCAAGGUCGGUAUACAGGUGGUGCAUGGUUGUCGUCAGCUCGUGUCGUGAGAUGUUGGGUUAAGUCCCGCAACGAGCGCAACCCUCGUUCUAUGUUGCCAGCACGUGAUGGUGGGGACUCAUAGGAGACUGCCGGGGUCAACUCGGAGGAAGGUGGGGAUGACGUCAAAUCAUCAUGCCCCUUACGUCUUGGGCUUCACGCAUGCUACAAUGGCCGGUACAGAGGGCUGCGAUACCGCGAGGUGGAGCGAAUCCCUUAAAGCCGGUCUCAGUUCGGAUUGGGGUCUGCAACUCGACCCCAUGAAGUCGGAGUCGCUAGUAAUCGCAGAUCAGCAACGCUGCGGUGAAUACGUUCCCGGGCCUUGUACACACCGCCCGUCAAGUCACGAAAGUCGGUAACACCCGAAGCCGGUGGCCCAACCCUUGUGGGGGGAGCCGUUUGAAAGGU